CGAUGCAGGGACAGUGAUGUCUGAGCUGUAUCCAGGGGGGCUGCUGAAUUAAGCAACUCUGUUACAAAUUGUCACCUAAGUGAGUUUGGGGAACAUUUGUCUGCCCUGCAUUCAUCCUGACAACAGCUUGAGUCCAAAACCAUUGGAAAAAUCGUUCACUCACGGGAGAAUCGUCAGUGAACCUUUAUACAAAUGUGUCUUUGGAGCUAUGGGAAAAACACUGAAACUAUGGAGUAAGAUCUGAGGGAGGAAAGCAUGAACGUGGAGUCGGCCGGGAAUGGCGUCUGGUGGUUCUUCUUCCUGCACACUGGUCCGUCAUGCAUCGGAACCGCCUGUGCAGUUCUUGCAUGAGCAGCUCUCCAGCCUGGACUGAUGGUGAUGGGCCAGAGAGAACAACAAGGAAGCCAGGGGACGACCUUGAACUGAACGGUACCAGGUCAGGUCAGAGACAGCCAGACACUACCCGGACAGCGGCAACAUUGUUGCCCCACAAUAUUGUCUGUCUCCAAAGAUGCUUUUCAGACAAAUUCAGGAGGUGCUGAAAAUCAAUAAAUUCCUAGACUUGAGCCUUCCAUGUGGUGAUACCCCCUCGCAGGGCUCCAGGAUACCUUAUGAAGACUUGUGGGCUACUCCAACCUUCUCUUUACCCAGAGUACUUGCGAAGCAUAGAUGCUGUGUGGACCCAUCCUCUGAGCGCGGGAACCAUCUCUCUGUUUGUCAACUGCCAGCGUUGACAUUCUCUCUCACUUCCCACGGUCUGGCACCAGAGAGGGGAUCUGGAGCCAACUUGAUUCCUCCUCUAAAGAGACAGCUUUGCAGUCUGCACUGUGUUUGUAAGGGAA
rnacentral:lncRNA from 1 species